AUUGAACGCUGGCGGAAUGCUUUACACAUGCAAGUCGAACGGCAGCACGGGUGCUUGCACCUGGUGGCGAGUGGCGAACGGGUGAGUAACAUAUCGGAACGUACCCAGUAAUGGGGGAUAACGAGUCGAAAGAUUCGCUAAUACCGCAUACGAUCUAUGGAUGAAAGCGGGGGAUCGCAAGACCUCGCGCGAUUGGAGCGGCCGAUAUCAGAUUAGGUAGUUGGUGGGGUAAAGGCCUACCAAGCCUGCGAUCUGUAGCUGGUCUGAGAGGACGACCAGCCACACUGGAACUGAGACACGGUCCAGACUCCUACGGGAGGCAGCAGUGGGGAAUUUUGGACAAUGGGCGCAAGCCUGAUCCAGCCAUUCCGCGUGAGUGAAGAAGGCCUUCGGGUUGUAAAUCUCUUUCGGCAGGGAAGAAACGCUCUGGGCUUACUACGCCGGGGUAAUGACGGUACCUGAAGAAUAAGCACCGGGCUAACUACCUGCCAGCAGCCGCGGUAAUACGUAUGAGUGCGAGCGUUAAUCGGAAUUACUGGGCGUAAAGCGUGCGCAGGCCGUUGAUGCAAGACAGAUGUGAAAUCCUCGGGGCUUUACCUGCGAAUUGCAUUUUUGGACUUGCAUCGCUGAUGCGGCAGAGGGGGAUGGAAUUCCGCGUGUAGCAGUGAAUGCGUAGAUAUGCGGAGGAACACCGAUGGCGAAGGCAAUCCCUGGGCCUGCACUGACGCUCAUGCACGAAAGCGUGGGGAGCAAACAGGAUUAGAUACCUGGUAGUCCACGCCCUAAACGAUGUCAACUGGUUGUUGGGGAUUAACUUCUUCAGUAACGAAGCUAACGCGUGAAGUUGACCGCCUGGGGAGUACGGCCGCAAGGUUGAAACUCAAAGGAAUUGACGGGGACCCGCACAAGCGGUGGAUGAUGUGGUUUAAUUCGAUGCAACGCGAAAAACCUUACCCACCUUUGACAUGUACGGAACUUGCCAGAGAUGGCUUGGUGCUCGAAAGAGAGCCGUAACACAGGUGCUGCAUGGCUGUCGUCAGCUCGUGUCGUGAGAUGUUGGGUUAAGUCCCGCAACGAGCGCAACCCUUGCCAUUAGUUGCUACGAAAGGGCACUCUAAUGGGACUGCCGGUGAUAAACCGGAGGAAGGUGGGGAUGACGUCAAGUCCUCAUGGCCCUUAUAGGUGGGGCUACACACGUCAUACAAUGGCUGGUACAAAGGGUUGCCAACCCGCGAGGGGGAGCUAAUCCCAUAAAACCAGUCGUAGUCCGGAUCGCAGUCUGCAACUCGACUGCGUGAAGUCGGAAUCGCUAGUAAUCGUGGAUCAGAAUGUCACGGUGAAUACGUUCCCGGGUCUUGUACACACCGC
rnacentral:rRNA from 1 species